AUUGAACGCUGGCGGCAGGCUUAACACAUGCAAGUCGAACGAGUGGCGGACGGGUGAGUAAUGCUUUGGAAUCUAGCUUAUGGAGGGGGAUAACUACGGUAAACUGUAUCUCAUACCGCGUACCAUAGGAUGAGCCCAAGUGGGCUUAGGUAGUUGGUGAGGUAAAGGCUCACCAAGCCGACGAUCCCUAGCUGGUCUGAGAGGAUGACCCGCCACACUGGGACUUGGACACGGCCCAGACGCCUACGGUAGGCAGCAGUGGGGAAGAUUGCGCAAUGGGGGCAACCUGACGCAGCCAUGCCGCGUGAAUGAAGAAGGCCUUCGGGUUGUAAAGUUCUUUCGGUAGCGAGGCGUUAACUACAGAAGAAGCACCGGCUAACGCCGUGCCAGCAGCCGCGGUAAUUC
rnacentral:rRNA from 1 species